rnacentral:rRNA from 1 species
CAGCCGCCACGGUAAUACGGAGGGGGCUAGCGUUAAUCGGAAUUACUGGGCGUAAAGCGUGCGCAGGCGGUUCGUUAAGACAGAUGUGAAAUCCCCGGGCUUAACCUGGGAACUGCAUUUGUGACUGGCGAGCUAGAGUAUGGCAGAGGGGGGUAGAAUUCCACGUGUAGCAGUGAAAUGCGUAGAGAUGUGGAGGAAUACCGAUGGCGAAGGCAGCCCCCUGGGCCAAUACUGACGCUCAUGCACGAAAGCGUGGGGAGCAAACAGGAUUAGAUACCCGCGUAGUCCCUGUCUCUUAUAC